AUUGAACGCUGGCGGCAGGCCUAACACAUGCAAGUCGAGCGGAUGAAGAGAGCUUGCUCUCUGAUUCAGCGGCGGACGGGUGAGUAAUGCCUAGGAAUCUGCCUGGUAGUGGGGGACAACGUUUCGAAAGGAACGCUAAUACCGCAUACGUCCUACGGGAGAAAGCAGGGGACCUUCGGGCCUUGCGCUAUCAGAUGAGCCUAGGUCGGAUUAGCUAGUAGGUGAGGUAAAGGCUCACCUAGGCGACGAUCCGUAACUGGUCUGAGAGGAUGAUCAGUCACACUGGAACUGAGACACGGUCCAGACUCCUACGGGAGGCAGCAGUGGGGAAUAUUGGACAAUGGGUGAAAGCCUGAUCCAGCCAUGCCGCGUGUGUGAAGAAGGUCUUCGGAUUGUAAAGCACUUUAAGUUGGGAGGAAGGGCAGUAAGUUAAUACCUUGCUGUUUUGACGUUACCAACAGAAUAAGCACCGGCUAACUUCGUGCCAGCCGCCGCAGUAACAC
rnacentral:rRNA from 1 species